rnacentral:rRNA from 1 species
GGGACGAACGCUGGCGGCGUGCUUAACACAUGCAAGUCGAGCGGUAAGGCCUUUCGGGGUACACGAGCGGCGAACGGGUGAGUAACACGUGGGUGAUCUGCCCUGCACUUCGGGAUAAGCCUGGGAAACUGGGUCUAAUACCGGAUAUGACCUCAGGUUGCAUGACUUGGGGUGGAAAGAUUUAUCGGUGCAGGAUGGGCCCGCGGCCUAUCAGCUUGUUGGUGGGGUAAUGGCCUACCAAGGCGACGACGGGUAGCCGACCUGAGAGGGUGACCGGCACACUGGGACUGAGACACGGCCCAGACUCCUACGGGAGCAGCAGUGGGAAUAUGCACAAUGGGCGAAAGCCUGAUGCAGCGACGCCGCGUGAGGGAUGACGGCCUUCGGGUGUAACCUCUUUCAGCAGGACGAAGCGCAAGUGACGUACUGCAGAGAAGCACCGGACACACGUGCCAGCAGCCG